UGAAUUCAUCUCCGGGGGUAGAGCACUGUUUCGGCUAGGGGGCCAUCCCGGCUUACCAACCCGAUGCAAACUGCGAAUACCGGAGAAUGUUAUCACGGGAGACACACGGCGGGUGCUAACGUCCGUCGUGAAGAGGGAAACAACCCAGACCGCCAGCUAAGGUCCCAAAGUCAUGGUUAAGUGGGAAACGAUGUGGGAAGGCCCAGACAGCCAGGAUGUUGGCUUAGAAGCAGCCAUCAUUUAAAGAAAGCGUAAUAGCUCACUGGUCGAGUCGGCCUGCGCGGAAGAUGUAACGGGGCUAAACCAUGCACCGAAGCUGCGGCAGCGACGCUGAUGCGUUGUUGGGUAGGGGAGCGUUCUGUAAGCCUGCGAAGGUGGCCUGUGAGGGUUGCUGGAGGUAUCAGAAGUGCGAAUGCUGACAUAAGUAACGAUAAAGCGGGUGAAAAGCCCGCUCGCCGGAAGACCAAGGGUUCCUGUCCAACGUUAAUCGGGGCAGGGUGAGUCGACCCCUAAGGCGAGGCCGAAAGGCGUAGUCGAUGGGAAACGGGUUAAUAUUCCCGUACUUGGUGUUACUGCGAAGGGGGGACGGAGAAGGCUAUGUUGGCCGGGCGACGGUUGUCCCGGUUUAAGCGUGUAGGUGUGUGUUCCAGGUAAAUCCGGUUCACUUUAACACUGAGGCGUGAUGACGAGGCACUACGGUGCUGAAGCAACAAAUGCCCUGCUUCCAGGAAAAGCCUCUAAGCAUCAGGUAACAUCAAAUCGUACCCCAAACCGACACAGGUGGUCAGGUAGAGAAUACCAAGGCGCUUGAGAGAACUCGGGUGAAGGAACUAGGCAAAAUGGUGCCGUAACUUCGGGAGAAGGCACGCUGACA
rnacentral:rRNA from 1 species